rnacentral:lncRNA from 10 species
AGAGCAUGUGAGAUACAGGACUACAGGACAGGAAAAAAAGGACUCUGCUAAGGCCAUGAAGCCCAGGAACUUUCUCCACAUUCUCUAAUCUUUACACAGUCCUAAAGGAGGCUGUUGCAAUUAGGAUGGCGAAUGGUGAAAAACAGUGUGGUUGAAUUGAACAUAAGCUGAAGGGCUAGACAUCAUGGCUUCAAUCCUUGUGGAGAUGCCUUUGGAUAAUUUCUGCUUGCUAAAGAGGCGGGGCCUUAGUCCUCAUCGGCCGAUGGUUUGGAGACUGAAUCAACUAUCUAUGAAGACGCUGAGGUUAAGAAACAAGUGACUGCUAUGAGAUCAUAAAGAAAAUGCAUAAGUGGUGGAAACAAUUAGAAAAUAGGUGUUUUGAUUUUAAGUUGCA